CACAAGGCUAUUAAGGUCGAACCCGUGUACGCAUAAGCUAGGCCCGAGCGUGUUCAAGCUUUCAGAAGCCUAAGAGUGCUAAAACGAUUGCGUUUUAUAAAUGAUGGUUUAUAUCUGAAUGGUCUGGGUUGAAUCUGCGUGAGUAUAGGGUUGAGCCCGCACAUUUUUUAAUUCACAAAAAGGCAAGUGGGUCUUGCAACCCCC
rnacentral:lncRNA from 1 species